rnacentral:rRNA from 1 species
CUGAGGGAUGACGGCCUUCGGGUUGUAAACCUCUUUUAGCAGGGAAGAAGCGAAAGUGACGGUACCUGCAGAAAAAGCGCCGGCUAACUACGUGCCAGCAGCCGCGGUAAUACGUAGGGCGCAAGCGUUAUCCGGAAUUAUUGGGCGUAAAGAGCUCGUAGGCGGUUUGUCGCGUCUGCUGUGAAAUCCGGAGGCUCAACCUCCGGCCUGCAGUGGGUACGGGCAGACUAGAGUGCGGUAGGGGAGAUUGGAAUUCCUGGUGUAGCGGUGGAAUGCGCAGAUAUCAGGAGGAACACCGAUGGCGAAGGCAGAUCUCUGGGCCGUAACUGACGCUGAGGAGCGAAAGGGUGGGGAGCAAACAGGCUUAGAUACCCUGGUAGUCCACCCCGUAAACGUUGGGAACUAGUUGUGGGGUCCAUUCCACGGAUUCCGUGACGCAGCUAACGCAUUAAGUUCCCCGCCUGGGGAGUACGGCCGCAAGGCUAAAACUCAAAGGAAUUGACGGGGACCCGCACAAGCGGCGGAGCAUGCGGAUUAAUUCGAUGCAACGCGAAGAACCUUACCAAGGCUUGACAUAUACGAGAACGGGCCAGAAAUGGUCAACUCUUUGGACACUCGUAAACAGGUGGUGCAUGGUUGUCGUCAGCUCGUGUCGUGAGAUGUUGGGUUAAGUCCCGCAACGAGCGCAACCCUCGUUCUAUGUUGCCAGCACGUAAUGGUGGGAACUCAUGGGAUACUGCCGGGGUCAACUCGGAGGAAGGUGGGGAUGACGUCAAAUCAUCAUGCCCCUUAUGUCUUGGGCUUCACGCAUGCUACAAUGGCCGGUACAAAGGGCUGCAAUACCGCGAGGUGGAGCGAAUCCCAAAAAGCCGGUCCCAGUUCGGAUUGAGGUCUGCAACUCGACCUCAUGAAGUCGGAGUCGCUAGUAAUCGCAGAUCAGCAACGCUGCGGUGAAUACGUUCCCGGGUCUUGUACACACCGCCCGUCAAGUCAUGAAAGUCGGUAACACCUGAAGCCGGUGGCCUAACCCUUGUGGAGGGAGC